rnacentral:rRNA from 1 species
UACGUAGGGGGCAAGCGUUGUCCGGAUUUACUGGGCGUAAAGAGCGUGUAGGCGGCCACGCAGGUCCGUUGUGAAAACUGGAGGCUCAACCUUCAGACGUCGACGGAAACCGUGUGGCUAGAGUCCGGAAGAGGAGAGUGGAAUUCCUGGUGUAGCGGUGAAAUGCGCAGAUAUCAGGAAGAACACCAAUGGCGAAGGCAGCUCUCUGGGACGGUACUGACGCUGAGACGCGAAAGCAUGGGGAGCGAACAGG